rnacentral:misc_RNA from 1 species
AACGCACGAGACCUGCGGACCUGCGGAAGGAUCAUUAAUGAGAAACUGCCCCUCGCGGGUAGAUCUCCCACCCUUUGUAAACUUACCUUUGUUGCUUUGGCAGGCCCGUCUCCGGACCGCCGGCUUCGGCUGGCCAGUGCCUGCCAGAGGAUUCUAAAACUCUGUCUGUCAGUGUUGUCUGAGUCUAUUUACAAUCGUUAAAACUUUCAGCAAUGGAUCUCUAGAUCGGAAGAGCACACG